rnacentral:RNase_P_RNA from 1 species
UAAGCCGGAUUCUGUAUUUAACCUAUCAUUUAUCUAGGAUUUAGGUCACCCAUGAUCUCUAUCUGCCUACCCCCCGGUAUCAACCGAGCCAGUUAACCGGUGUACAUGGCAUUUCACCACACAGAGUUUACAUGAUUUCACUACAGCCUUUGAACUUUGAAUCUAAUCUGUACUUCCUUUCUGUUGCACUAUUCCUCAUCUCUCGAUGGAUGGGUGUUACCCAUUGUGUUGCUCUAUGGUGUCCGGACUUUCCUC